GCGAGUGAAGCGGCAAAAGCUCAAAUUUGAAACCCUCGGGAUUGUAAUUUGAAGAUUUGGCAUUGGAGAAAGCUAACCCAAGUUGCUUGGAAUAGUACGUCAUAGAGGGUGACAACCCCGUCUGGCUAACCGUUCUCCAUGUAUUGCCUUAUCAAAGAGUCGAGUUGUUUGGGAAUGCAGCUCAAAGUGGGUGGUAAACUCCAUCUAAAGCUAAAUACUGGUGAGAGACCGAUAGCGAACAAGUACUGUGAAGGAAAGGUGAAAAGAACUUUGAAAAGAGAGUGAAAUAGUAUGUGAAAUUGUUGAUAGGGAAGGAAAUGAGUGGAGAGUGGCCGAGGUUUCAGCCGCCCCUCGUGGGCGGUGUACUGCCGACGCCGAGUCAUCGAUAGCGAGACGAGGGUUACAAAUGGGAGCGCCUUUCGGGGGUUCCCCCCUACCCCUCCCCCUGGCCCCCAACAACUUAUCCCCCCCUUUUCCCCCGCC
rnacentral:rRNA from 1 species